GAGUUUGAUCGUGGCUCAGAUUGAACGCUGGCGGCAUGCCUUACACAUGCAAGUCGAACGGUAACAGGUCUUCGGAUGCUGACGAGUGGCGAACGGGUGAGUAAUACAUCGGAACGUGCCCGAUCGUGGGGGAUAACGAAGCGAAAGCUUUGCUAAUACCGCAUACGAUCUACGGAUGAAAGCAGGGGACCGCAAGGCCUUGCGCGAACGGAGCGGCCGAUGGCAGAUUAGGUAGUUGGUGGGAUAAAGCUUACCAAGCCGACGAUCUGUAGCUGGUCUGAGAGGACGACCAGCCACACUGGGACUGAGACACGGCCCAGACUCCUACGGGAGGCAGCAGUGGGGAAUUUUGGACAAUGGGCGAAAGCCUGAUCCAGCCAUGCCGCGUGCAGGAUGAAGGCCUCGGUUGUAACGUAGCUUUGUUACGG
rnacentral:rRNA from 1 species